rnacentral:lncRNA from 1 species
CAGUUCAUCCUCAACAAUUAAUUGAUUUAUAUCUUGCGAAGAUAAAAAAGAUAAUAAAAUUGAGCCCUACUUUCUUAAUGUUUUCAAUGGAUAUAUGUAUGCCUUUUUGUCCACGUGAUUUUAACGAGAAAAUUGUCUUGAACUACAUUUGGAUGUUCACGACUUCAGUGCAGUAGCUGUUUGAUUUUUGGAAGUAUUCACUCUAUUCAUUCAUCGACCAUUUCAUGACUGAGAUCUCGAAACAUAAUUGAAUAUUUUCUGUUUUAUUUUUGACAACCCAGCCCUAAAAUCAUUUCAAUUAUAAUUUGUUUGAAACAAGACUGAGACUCAAAACCUUAUAUUUAUUGUUAUAAAGUUGUAGAAAUGCCACUCCGUAGUUUGUUUUCUACUUGAUAAUUUGUGGACGAUAUAUUAAACCUGUCUUUGGUUCAGGUUCAUUUGCUUCUCUUUUGACUAAUGCGUUGUUUAUAUUUCUUCACGGUCAACUUCUUAUGAUAAAUACAUAGUCUUUCAAUCAGUUAGAUUGAGGUCUGGAACGGACAUCUUAGUACCUGCUAAUGAUCAUUUUUAUGUAUUCUUGUCAUUUUGAGUAGGUUCUUUUGUUACAUAUUCUGACAUCGGACUCGGACUUCUUUUUAACUGAGUUUUACUGGGUUUAUUGCUGUGUGUUUGUUUUUUCUACAUUGGCUCAAGGUAUAGUAGUAGGGUUGAGGUCUUACUAAACACGUUUAACCUAGCAGCAUUUUUGCACAUGUCCGGAGACUCUGGCCUUUGAAAGUCUUGUAUGAGUUUAUAGUAUAUUUUGAAAUUGAGUAAGACGUUCAUUCUCACUGAAUUGUGACUAAGGAACCAGCUCAAACCCAACUCCCUGUACGGGAUUUUCUCGAUGUGUAAAGGACCCAUUGUUGGCCUUCGUCUGGUUUCUGCUCUUAGUUGGGUUGGUGUCGGUCGCAAAUCCCAUUACCAAUCUCAAUGUUGGUAUCUACUGACUAAUAUGUCUUUCAUUGAAAUUAAGUAUAACGAUGAGUGGUCAUUUUCAAUGAUUUCUCCUCAUUGAAAUUAAGUAUAACGAUGAGUGGUCAUUAUCAAUGAUUUCUCCUCAUUGAAAUUAAGUAUAACGAUGAGUGGUCAUUUUCAAUGAUUUCUCCUCAUUGAAAUUAAGUAUAAGGAUUAGUGGUCAUUUUCAAUGAUUUCUCCUCAACAUGAAUGUUUCUCAAAUAUUGUCUUCAGGUUCACGACCAGAAAUGUGACAAUGAAGAUUAAAAAGUCUCAGGAAACACAUAAAAA